CCUACGGGAGGCAGCAGUAGGGAAUCUUCCGCAAUGGACGAAAGUCUGACGGAGCAACGCCGCGUGAACGAUGAAGGCCUUCGGGUCGUAAAGUUCUGUUGUCAGGGAAGAACAAGUACCGGAGUAACUGCCGGUACCUUGACGGUACCUGACCAGAAAGCCACGGCUAACUACGUGCCAGCAGCCGCGAUAAUACGUAGGUGGCAAGCGUUGUCCGGAAUUAUUGGGCGUAAAGCGCGCGCAGGCGGUUCCUUAAGUCUGAUGUGAAAGCCCCCGGCUCAACCGGGGAGGGUCAUUGGAAACUGGGGAACUUGAGUGCAGAAGAGGAGAGCGGAAUUCCACGUGUAGCGGUGAAAUGCGUAGAGAUGUGGAGGAACACCAGUGGCGAAGGCGGCUCUCUGGUCUGUAACUGACGCUGAGGCGCGAAAGCGUGGGGAGCGAACAGGAUUAGAUACCCUGGUAGUCCACGCCGUAAACGAUGAGUGCUAAGUGUUAGAGGGUUUCCGCCCUUUAGUGCUGCAGCUAACGCAUUAAGCACUCCGCCUGGGGAGUACGGCCGCAAGACUAAAACUCAAAGGAAUUGACGG
rnacentral:rRNA from 1 species